AUGGUUGGUAGAUCAAAACAUGGAGCAUUUAAACACAUCCUAAAAAGGCCAUGGAAUAAAUUUCAAGGUUGCGAAGGUCAAGGACUAUCGAAAGCGGGGAAGGAGAUAUUAGUAAAGUCGGUCUUGCAAGCUGUCCCGGCAUAUACGAUGAGUUGUUUUGCCUUCACCAAAUCUAUUUGUAAACAACUCACCUCUGUUAUGUCAAGAUUUUGGUGGGGAUCAAACAAGGGACAACAGAAGGUUCAUUGGAUCAGUUGGGAGAAGAUGGCAAGGCCAAAGUGUUUGGGCGGUGUAGGCUUCAGAGAAAUGGAGGCCUUUAACCAAGCUUUGUUGGCUAGACAGGGAUGGAGAAUGUUAACCUUCCCUAAUACUCUAUGUGCAAGAGUGUUAAAAGCUAGAUAUUUCAAGCACACUACUUUUCUUAAAGCGGCAAAAAUCCUAGAAAUGCGUCUUUUACUUGGCGAAGUAUUCUGCAUGGAAGGAAUUUGCUGCUGA
rnacentral:rRNA from 1 species